rnacentral:lncRNA from 1 species
UAGCUCCCACCACUUCUGCCCUCGCGCCGCUCCUUCUCUCUCACACUCUGGAUCGAGCUAGCCCACGCACACCGGAGCGCGCCACCGUGAACCACCGCAGCCACCGCCCACCUCUCGCUAUGCUGAUUCGACCAGGAGACUUGUCGUCGUCCGCUUCGUCUUCCUCGCCCACGAGCUCAAGCCCGGAGCCAUCACAUCGACCGGGUGGAGGCCAUCUUCUUCCUCGGUCGUCGUCGUUGUUCUUCGUUGAUCCGUCGCCUCUGCAGCUCCUAAGCCACCAACGGGCCUUCGUGUGCCUCCGCGGUGAGCACCGCACCAUCCCCUUGUUGGGAAUAAGCCGAGGCGAGUCCAGGGACGCGGCGAGCGUGUGCGUGCGCGCGGUGGGCACAUCGGGUUUAGCUCGCGGCAGGGCUCGGGUGCGUGCGUGCGCGACCGAGCGUAGGUGUGUGUGUGUGCGUGGGCUCACGGGUGUGUGCGCGGGGCCAUGCGGUGCUGUUAGUGAGUUUAGGGGAGGUGUGGACUGCGUCGGGCGCGCGGGGUGGCCGUGGCGAUCGCGUUCGGGCACGAUGCGCGGGUGCGGCCAAAGCACGCGGGACGUGGGGGAGUGGGCAUGCGAGUUGGUGCGGGGCGUGGCCUGGCAGGCCGGUGCUCGCGGGUAUAAAGCCCUGGAUCCUCCCUGUAUCUUGUUGACACGGUCAAGUUCGUCCUCGAGGAAAGGAAAAGGCGUACGUGCGCCGGAAAACCCACAGUGUCCACCGUGUUCUCUGAAUUUUCUGAACUUCCGAUCAUCUUCUUCCUCCAGCUCCUGUCGUUCGUGCGCAGGGAGGGCGAGGUGAGGGAGAACUAGGGCUAGCUAGGGUUCGGGGGAGAGGCCACGAUGCCAACAUUUGGUAUCAGAGCAAUAGGUGACGGAGCUCGCCGGCGGAGAUGGCGCUGGUUCCACAUGGCGGCGGCACGGGCGGGUCGGUGUCCAUGGGGAUGCCGAUGCUCUCGCCGGACGGCUACACCGUGUGGGCGAUCAAGGAGCAGGCCAUCCUUGAUGCUCACGCGCUGUGGGAAGCGGUGGCGCCGGGCGACUCGCCGGUGAACAGCAAGAAGUGCAAGACGGCGCGAGCUCUGCUCUUGCAGGGGCUGCCGGAGGACGUGUUGCUCGCAGUGGCGACGAAACCCACUGCCAGGGAGGUAUGGGACUCCCUGUCGGUACGGUUCAUCGGCGCCGAGCGGGUGCGCACAGCGCGGAGGGCGACGUUGCGCAGCGAGCUUGAUCGGAUCAAGAUGGAGGACGGCGAGGCGCUGGACGCGUACGCUGGGAGGCUCGCGGGCAUGGCGGCGCGGUUCGCGGGGCUGGGGGAGACGCUGGCGGACACGGAGCUGGUGAAGAAGCUCCUGGACACAGUCCCGGACCGUCUCUUCCCGGUGGUCGCCGGAAUUGAGCAGUUCUGCAAGCUUGAGGAGAUCACCUACGACGAGGUGCUCGGGCGGCUGCGCGCGUUCGAUGAGCGUGUGCGGCACCGCGGGCAGAGCAGUGGCGAGUGCCAGGACGACCAGCUCUUGUACACUGCGGCGCAGUGGCGCGCGCGAGAGCGGCGUCAGGGCAAGGCUCGGGACGACGACGACGAUGCCGGCAGCGUGGCGACGUGGGAUGGCGGCAACAAGAAGGGCCGCUCCUACAUGUGUGGCGAGCGCGGCCACUUCAAGCGGGACUGCCCGGAGCUGCGUAGGGCGCCGGCGGAGGAGCGGGCUUUGGUGGCGGACGUCGACGUUGAGGACAACGGUCUCCUCUGUGCCUCGGCUUAGGGGGAGAGUGUUGGGAAUAAGCCGAGGCGAGUCCAGGGACGCGGCGAGCGCGUGCGUGCGCGCGGUGGGCGCGUCGGGUUCAGCCCGCGGCAGGGGUGCGUGCGUGCGCGACCGAGCGUAGGUGUGUGUGUGUGCGUGGGCUCACGGGUGUGUGCGCGGGGCCACGCGGUGCUGUUAGCGAGUUUAGGGGAGGUGUGGACCGCGCCGGGCGCGCGGGGUGGCCGUGGCGAUCGCGUUCGGGCGCGAUGCGCAGGCGCGGCCAGAGCGCGCGGGACGUGGGGGAGUGGGCAUGCGAGUUGGUGCGGGGCGUGGCCUGGCAGGCCGGUGCUCGCGGGUAUAAAGCCCUGGAUCCUCCCUGUAUCUUGUUGACACGGUCGAGUUCGUGCUCGAGGAAAGGAAAAGGCGUACGUGCGUCGGAAAAACCACAGUGUCCAUCGUGUUCUCUGAAUUUUCUGAACUUCCGAUCAUCUUCUUCCUCCAGCUCCUGUCGUUCGUGCGCAGGAAGGGCGAGGUGAGGGAGAACUAGGACUAGCUAGGGUUCGGGGGAGAGGCCACGGUGCCAACACCCCUCCUAGUUUCCCCCUCGAAUCCGUGCUCCAUGCUGCCGUCGCCAUCGUUGCCGUAGCUCGGCGCCGUAGCUAGGGCCAUUCCUGUGCCCCUCCGAACACAACAUCGUGCUCGGCGCAUCGCGAGGACGCCUUAGAACCCUCCCGCUCGCCCGCGGACCUUGCUUGCCGCCCCCUGGCUGCGAACCCCCUGCCUCACCCGGCACUCACCCGUGACAGCGCCAGCCGCUGCUGCUUUCUCCUUGCCGCUGCGCUGCUGCUUUGCGUUCAGCACUUCUGUUUGUGUUGUUGCUCUUUUGCCUGCUGCGGCCGCCGUUGCCCCUGUUCGCCGCAGCCGUUCGCGCCCAACGACGCCGGCGGCGCUCGCUGGGACCGCCUGCCUUCGCCACCGGCCCCGCAGCACGCGCACGCCGUGCAGCGCCGUGCCCCGCGCCCCGCGCCCAGCUCGUGUGCAUGCAUUUGCCGCUCUACUGAAAGUGCUGUUGCUGCUGAAUGUUACUGUAGCUAUAUGCUUAGCUUUAGGAUUUUUACACUGAGUAACCCCCUAAACAGCCCCUAAUCAGCGGUUAAACAGUUGUUAAUAUGUCUAAAAAAAUAUAUGGGAUGGUAGUACACUUGACAAGGCUCAAAUGUGAUCAUUGGACCAAAUCCAUUUGAUGCAUUGUUUAAACCAUAUGAAAAUCACAAAUUGCUAUCUUCUGCUAAGAGAAAACUCUCCCUGUGUUGUGUGUUGUGUGUGUGCCGUGCGUGUGGCCGGCUGGGUUCUGCCAAGUAGUGGCCGGCCCUUGUUAGUACUAGGUUUAGCUAGUAGUAUUAAUUACUUCUAAGUUAGUCUAGUAGUAGAUAACGUGUAGGCCCCAUUAAAUAAGUUAGGUUUAUUUAUUUGUUUAGGUAAAGAAUAUCUGACAUGUGGGCCACACCUGCCCUUUUGACUAGUCAAAUUGACUUGGUCAACUCGAAUUAAAAGUAAAUUAGAAAAUCUUUUAAAUCUUUGAAAAAUCUUAGAAAAUAAUCUGUAGCUCGGAUGAAAAUACUUUGUACAUGAAAGUUGUUCAGAACGACGAGACGAAUUCGGAUACGUAGUCCGUUCGUCUGUCACGCGUCCCUAGCAUAGCAAACCUGCAAACAUCCCCCUCUGUUUCAUCUGUUUGAAAAUGCCAAACUUUCGGAAAGCAUUCCCGGAUGUUUUCCCCCUUCGCCGGUAUCGUGUAGCAUUGCGUUAGUUCACCCCUAGCGCUGCUUAUUGUUUUGUCAUGCAUAGUAUUGCACUUGUUUGCUCUGUAUUUAUUGUUUCUUCCCCCUCUUCUCUUAGGUAGACCUCGAGACCGUUGCUGAUGCCACUGUGAUCGACUACGUCACCGACGACCCUUCUUGUCUGAGCAACCAGGCAAGCCCCCCCUUUGAUCAUCCCGAUAUCGCCCAUUCUAUACUCUCAUGCUUGCAUUAGAUUUUGCUACUGUUAUUGUUUGCUCCUAUUCUGAUGCAUAGCCUGCUUUUGUACCUGCUUAUUGUUACCUACAUGUUUAUCCUAAACUGCUUAGUAUAGGUUGGCUAGUGAUCCAUCAGUGACCCCCACUUGUCCUUGUUGCCCCUGCUUCAUCAUCGAUGGCUCGAUCAACGUGAUCGACGACCAGAGCCCGACACCUCACAUCACAUCACGCCCCUUUAGUUGCUCGACUCUACAGAGCUACUAUCGAGUGCCGAGGGUGAUCCCUCAUAACGCACUCCUGAUGAUAAUUCUGUAGUGUAGCUAUUCGGUCGUGGUCAUCGAGGGUGAUUUUCUCUUUCACCAUUCCCGAUACGGCUCUGUCGUUCAACACCUCAAGUGUGAACCUCGAGGGUGGUCCCUCUUACGUUCACCUUGAUGAUUACAUUGAGUGGAAUCCACCAGGGGUGAUUCCUCGGGUUUUCCCCUUGAUGUCUGGACACACAGUUACAAUGACUUUACUUGAGACCUUGGUAAAAGCCGGGCGGGCCCGGAGAGCACCCAUAAGAUGGUUACGUGGCACGGCCGGGCAUUAUGAGCCCUUGUCGUAAGUCCACGAGACGAGGUGAUGGGGUCACUUUAGAUCGUGAGUCUCUGCUCGUCUCCGCAAGCUAAUAAUACACUAUGGUUUUGGUAUUUGUUCUGAGUUGGCCUUUGGCCUUUACGCACUAACCACCACGCGAGAAUAGUUAUGGGCCUCGACGUCGUGGUAUCAGCCGAAGCUUUGUCAGACGUCCAGUUCAGCAUUGUGGCAUGGUCGGAUCGUGCUGGCCAUCCGAGGCGGUGCUGGUAUCCACCCUGCACACAACGAUCCGGAGUGCAACGGGCGAUGGGCCCAGACCCCGGAGUGCUUAGGAUGUAGACCGGCGGGGACCUCUCUGCUGAGCCUAGGUCGGGCUGCGACAUGUUGAUCUUCCGAGGGCGGGCAUUGACCCCAGAAAGGUGUGUCCGGCCAGAGUGAUCGAGCGUGUUGGGUAACGUGGUGCAUCCCUGCAAGGAAGUUAUAUAUUCGAAUACCGUGUCCACGGUAAUGGACGUUCGGACUUAUAUCCUGAUCUUAUACAACUACAAAUGGAUACUUGAGAUAUGUGGCUCCGGGAUUGCUUUCUCGCAGGGAGUCGAGGAAGGAUCUCUGGGCAUUAAAGUUACAACAUGCUUGUUAAUUAUAAACUGCUAUUCUUUACUCUUCUACAUGCUGCAAGAUGCUCGGAGCUGCGUGAAGAUGCUAGUCUUCGAUAGGCUAGGCUUUCCCCCUCUAUUCUGGCAUUCUACAGUUCAGUCCACAGAUACAACCCUUCCAUUUGAUAUAAAUGCAUACUUAGUAUAGAUCUGAUGCUUGCGAGUACUUUGGAUGAGUACUCACGGUUGCUUUGCUACCCCUUUUCCCCCUUCUUUCUUCUUUCCGGUUGAUGCAAUCAGAUGGUGGAUCCUUGGAGCCAGAUGCCACCGCCGACGGAUACUACUACAUGGAGGCCGACGAAGACCAGGAGUAGUUAGGAGGUC